GAUGAAGGGGAUGACGUGUAUCUAUGUGAAUAUGAAUAUGACAUACGCUGGCACAGUUUCAAGCGGCUUGCUGAAAUU